rnacentral:ncRNA from 1 species
CUGAGGUGUAAAAAGGCUGAGACCGUUAAUUCGGGAUCCGCGGAACCUGAUCAGGCUAAUACCUGCGAAGGGAACAAGAGUAAU